CCAGCCAUUGGUUCCAUUGGGGUUUUGACAAGACUAUUUCUGGGAAAAGCCUACCAUAUUAUUGUCUCAGCUGCUACAGACAUUAUGAAGUUAUAACAAUAUUAAUAGCAUUUUACAGACUUCUUGUUUGUAGACUAGGGGAGAUAUGUUAGCCUUUGCAGAGGAGGGGAGGAAAUUGAAAAGAUGAGUCAGAGCCAGAUGAGAAAAGGGUUGGGAUGCAAUGACAAGAAAUUUUGACUUUAUGUAGGAUUAUUCAGAGAAGAAAAGAGGAGGAAGUGAAAUGCUAAGACUGAUUUUUUUUUUUAAAAGAUAGAUUUGAUAGCAUGAGAAGAAUGGAUUUGAAAGGCGAUAAUGGAAAGGAUGCAGAGGCACCAAUUUGGAAUUUACUGUGAUGUUUUAGGCAAUAGAUGUGUUGUUAACAAUUCAUGGCGUGUGUUUCUGUGUCGGAGGCAGGAGGGAGCUGAAAAGAUGCAGUUUUAUCUCCAAAGGAAAGAAAUCAACUCUAAGGAAAGAAGUAGGCAGGAAACCUGUUGAAAGAAAAUGAAAGCAUUAUAUUUCAGCAAUUACUUAAAUCCUGCAAGAAGAUCAUGUUUGAUGGGUAAGUUUUCAGAAUGAAAAUCUCCAUUGACUAAAGUGAAACUCAGUGGCAAUUUUAAAUGUCCUAUCUGCAUGACAUUGAGAGUAAUGAUAGAAAACUUUCGUAAUUUCUUUUAGUGCAACCAUUUAGCUCAAACUAUGCCCUAAGACAUAUCCUUACCUCCACCAGGAAUCAUUUAUCAUGCCUUGUCUGGUAGAAAUAUAAUUUUUACCUUAAAGGAGAUAUUGGCAAUUCAAUUAAUUUCAUCUGCUUUGGAUAAAAGUCAUCUGAUGUUUUAAAAAAGGAAUUUUUUUAAAAAAGACAUUAAGAAACUUUUUAAGAUGAUGCCUAUGUUCAUUAACUUGAUUAUGCUCCUGGUGCCCUGGUUGUAUUUAACUCUCCUUUGAGCAGGAAGACUAUCUUGUCAAUAUGGUGGUCAGGCUCCAUGUAUAUAUACAUACAUCAAAACUUAGCAAAAUUUCUACCCUAAAUAUGUGCAGUUUCUUGCAUGACAGUAAUACCUCAAUAAAUGUGUUAAAAAUAAAAAUAUCAGCAUAACAAUAACAAGCUUAUAUAGACAUAUACCUUUUAAUACUACAUCACUAAUUGUUUACAUAAUUGAGAGACAAUUCAUGGGUCUUUCACAUUUCUGCUCAUUUUCUGAGCAGAGGCCCUGACUGCCUUUAUUCCAGGCUAUCUUAUCAAUGAUGAUUAUAUAGUGAAAAGCCUUGGAAGAUAGAGAUAAUACCUCCUUCUUAAACAAAGGGCAGAUUUAUUUACUGUCUGGUACGAAAAAUAUAAUGUCUCCUUUUGGAGCAAGCAUGCUUUAUUGUCCAUUUUAAAAGAUCCAGAUUUCCUGGCCGGGCGCAGUGGCUCAUGUCUGUAAUCCCAGCACAUUGAGAGGCUGAGGCCGGUGGAUCAUGAGGUCAGGAGAUCAAGACCAUCCUGGCUAACACGGUGAAAACCUGUCUCUACUAAAAAUACAAAAAAUUAGCCAGGCGUGGUGCAAGCACCUGUAGUCCCAGCUACUGGGGAGGCUGAGGCAGGAGAAUCGCGUGAACCUGGGAGGCGGAGGUUGCAGUGAGCUGAGAUUGUGCCACUACACUCCAGCAUGGCAACUAAGUGAGACUCCAUCUCAAUAAAUAAAUAAAUAUAUAUAUAUUUUAAAAAAGAUCUGGGUUUCCUAAGCUUGGAGUUUCUCUCCUGUAAUGCAAAAUGCAACUCAUAGCAUGUGCCUUCUUGAUGAUACCCUUAAGAACUGAGGUGUAGGAAUGUGAUGCAAGUGCUCAUACUGUAGAUACUUCGAUAUCGGCAAUAGCUUUGAGGAAUAGACUGAACGUUGUCUCUGAGGCAGGAGUCUCACAUUUCUAAUCAGUCUCCAUGAAACUAUGGCUGCUUUUCUUGUUAGCUUUCAUAUAUGGUAAAAUUUCAGACCCUUCUAAGUCCUUGAUAGUUUUGAUGAUGAGCAUGGGAUGCUGAAAGAGACAUGAGUUUUUGGAAGAGGAAGAAUGAGAUCCUUAUGGCUGAUUUAAGGCAAUGCCAUGUGUUGAUAGCAGACAUUUGACCAAACUAUAUGGUCAACAGGACAAUUAAUAAUCUUCUACUUUAAUGGGUGUUAAUGAGGAUGAAUUUGGGAGGGUGUUGCAGCCUGAGAACUCAGAAGUAAAUUCAAAGGCAGCUGUCUGAAUGGUGCC
ensembl:lincRNA